AUGGAGGAGUUCAACGCCAUGGAGAUGCUCGCGGCGCGCAUUGAGCCUCUGCUGGAGGACGGCUCCGACGACCCCGACCUCCUGCCCGAGCCCGAGGAGCAGCCGCAGCACGGCCAGCAGGGCACCCUCCCGCGUCCCGCGGCGGUCGCUGGCGGUGGCGGGUUCCUCCGACCGGUCGCCGCCUCCAACGCCUUCCUCCCCCCGAGCCUCGGGUACUACCCUUCGCUCCCCUCGCCGCGCGUCCCGCCCGGUACCGAGUACUUGGCUUCCCUUUCCUCGCCGCGCGUCCCGCCCGGUACCGAGUACUUGGCUUCGCUUCCCUCGCCGCACGCCACGCCGGGCGCCGACUGCUUCGCUUCGCUUCCCUCGCCGCACGCCACGCCGGGCGCCGACUGCUUCGCUUCGCUUCCCUCGCCGCACGUCCCGGCGGGCGCCUUCGCUUCGCUUCCCUCGCCGCACGUCCCUCUUGCCGCUGAGCAGCAGCAGUUCCUUCCGCCGCGCCCUCAGCAAGACCAGUUCGUCCCGGACGCGGGGCAUUACCGCCCCUACUACCCACGGGUCCCACCGGGCGCCGCCGUCUACUACGGCCCGCGCGGCGGCGAUUCCUACUACGGCGCGCCCCCUGCCUCGGUGGGGCAUCAUCACCACAACAACGUCCCCACCGGAUCCGUGGUCUCCGCCCAGAUGGCGCUCGUGGAGACCUCGGCGCGGAGGCAGCAGCAGGAGGGGCACCCGCACGCGGCCCAGACAUCGCGCCUGCCGCGGCACCUCGACAUUGGGGCGGCUUCGACAUCGAGCCGUCCAAGGCCAAGCAACUUCACCUCGUCGAUUCCAAGGCAUCUUGUCGAUCGGAAGGACAUCAGGCCGCUGCUUACAUCCACUCUUUCAGCUGAACAAGUUGUGCGCCUGCUUCAAUCAAGGGACGACCAAGUGCAGCGCAUUGUGCUCGGCCAUGUCAGGUCACGUAUCGGCACUAUGAUGGCCGACAAAGAGGGCAGCAAGGUGUUCCUCGCGCUACUUCAUAACUCAAGAGGGAAGUGGCAGGACCUGGAGUCAAUUGUACAAGGGGUGGCGGGGGCCCCUGCGCUGAGAACAAAAAACAAUGAAGAAUUUGACAACUGGAUAAACUCUCUUAGGUCGGUGAUCACAACGGUGGCAGAGCAACCCUUACUGAUAAAGAUGCUGCUCAACAGUUUGCUCAACAAAAGGCUCAUGGACAGCGCCCGAGAAGAGGAAUUGACUAAGCAUCUCUUUAACAUCGUGUCCAUCGAGAUUCUAUGCGAGCAUGGCAUCGAGUGCUUGACCAGCAACAGAGAAUAUGCAAGGCAUGUGUCAGGGUUUUUGAUCGAGCUUUAUGGGCGUGCUUCAGGAAAAUUUCUCAGAGAUAUUGAAGACCUACUAAUUGAGAAUGCCAUGGGCUUGGCGGUCGGAGCCUACAGCAAUUAUUUGCUCCAGCACGUACUCAGGAAAUGCAGCCCUGAGAUGAAGAAGCGACUCAUGGAGAAGCUGGCACAGGACAUUGUCUAUUUGUGUGCAGAUCAGCAGGGCGUAUCCGUGAUGCAGUGUUACUUCAAGCUACCUGAUGCGUCCCUUGACACUGAAACGAUGCGUCUUGUUCUGGAUUCACUGAUCGGCCUCAACGACGAUCGACUUUCUGCGAUGGUAAACGGAACUCAUUCAAGUACCGUCAUCUGUGAGGCACUAAAGAAGAGGCAGUGCAGUCAUGAGGUGAACAGGAAGGUGCGCGCACUUGCACUAAGGAUCAACCAGCUUCCGGAGGUCGCCCUACAAGAGAACGAGUCGUCCAAGGCAGUUCUGCGGUUUGCCGCCUGA
rnacentral:rRNA from 1 species